UGGAGUAACCUUUUAGGAGCUAGCCGUCGAAGGUGGGACAAAUGAUUGGGGUGAAGUCGUAACAAGGUAGCCGUAUCGGAAGGUGCGGCUGGAUCACCUCCUUUCUAAGGA
rnacentral:rRNA from 1 species